rnacentral:rRNA from 1 species
CUGGUCUGCUCACUGCUAGAAGUAAACAGCCGCAGUAUUUUGACUGUGCUAAGGUAGCAUAAUCAUUUGCCUUUUUAUUGAAGGCUGGGAUGAAUGAUUUGACGAGAUAGUAGCUGUCUCUAAAGAGUAUUAUUGAAUUUGAUUAGUUAGUAAAAAGGCUACUAUAACUCUGAGGGACGAUAAGACCCUAUUAAGCUUAAUUUUUGAAUUUUACUGGGGCGGUAUUUUAAGAUUUAAAUCUUAAAUAUAAGGAUUGUAUUAUUAGACCCAAUAGUAUUGAGUAUAAGAUAAAGCUACUAUAGGGAUAACAGCUUUAUUUUUUUAUUGAGUUCUUAUUUUAAAAAAAGUUUGUGACCUCGAUGUUGAAUUAAGGGUUCUGUUUGGCGAAGAAGUUAAACCAAGAAAGUCUGUUCGA